AGAAUGAGAAAACGAAUGGUUGACAGAAGAGAGUGAGCACAGGGCGGAGGACAAUGGUAUGAUACGAUGCUGUUUCCGUUGCGUGCUCACGUCUCUUCCUGUCAACCUUUAUUAUCAUCAUGAGCUC
rnacentral:pre_miRNA from 15 species